GAGAAUUUUUACGUGGUUCAGCCCCUAUCCUCUUGUCCAGUAGCCUAAUCCACGUCCAAUCCCAACUAGGAUUGGAGACUCACUUUAUUAGAAUAAUACUCAACAAUUACAAAGUAAAUAAAACUCCAUGUUACAACGACAAUCGAUUGGACACCUCUGCCCCCUUUGCAUCUCUGCAACACCUCUCACUUCUGAGACUUUGAUAACUUCGUUGAACAGACUGAGUAUUACUAAAAUAAAAACCCCAAGCCAAUCCUAGACUUGUACUACUAUGUUUACAAUAGAUAUUGAAAUAAAGAAUACAAGAACACUGUAAACCAAGACUAAAAGAAUGAAUAUCUCAGAUAGCUCUCUUGAAGUUUAUGUUCUGCAGUCUUGUAUUCCUUCAUGAAGCCGAAUAAAAAAUAUAGCAACGGCUAUGAUAAGUAACGUUCCAUUCAUCCAGCAACGGCUAAUUACUUUUAAAUAGGAGAUGAACAACAGCCUCAGAAGAUAAGAGAAGUAGUCAAAUAAAAUAUAAAGACUAGCUGAAAGAGUCCUUGUUGAAUGUUAACAAGUUUCCUUCAAAACAACAACUGCUGUUAGCAAGACUCCAAAAAAUAAUUGUUGUUCCAUUUUGAAUAAGAGUCCUUAAAUAUACCAAUUCCUAAAAAAAAUAUUAAAGACACGUAAAUUGGUAACUCACUAUUUAACAGAUAAUAUCUAUAUCUAUAUAGGAAGAAUAUAACCCAACAAAUAAGGAAUUAAAACAGAUUAGAUAUAAAAUCCAGCUUGCACAUACCUGUUAAAAAAUCCAAUACCUGAUUUUCAAUUUCCUUAAUCAACUCCAAUUCACAUUAGAAUUAGUCUUCAAAACAGGUUUAGUUAAUCAUAUAAAUAUUAUAUUCCAAAGACUUUGAAUCACGUGACAACCUGCAGUAUCCUUUCAUGCAAUAACCCAUGCAAACUAUUUAACAUGACUAAAUAAAAUUAUAAGCCAAUAUAAAAACAAUUUAACCCAUAUAAACAUUGUCAUCAUUAAAACCACAGAGUAUAAAUACUAACAUUUUUCACUCCGCCGUCUUUUCUCCUAUCCGUCCUUAAAAACAUGAACUGAAUACUACGUUUCCGAAACUUGAUUCUAAGUGGAAAAAUUUAAGAUCUAGUUUAAAAGCUUUAUCUCUAAGUGCUUGCAAGUUAUACGAGUAUCUUUGGAGUUCUCCGACAUUAACAACUUUACACUCAACUGCAAUAACUUUUCUGGGAGAGAGAUUUUAGUUUUGACAAUUUUCCCCAUUUGAAGAAUAUCUAUUUAUGUGCGUUGAAAAUGUAAUAUGAUAUGGAGGCUUUCAAUUUUACUUUACCUAAUCUCACACACCUCACCAUAUCUGAGUAUUAUUGGGGAAAGUCCUUUCACUUGUAAGUUUUUAGUCUUAGCACCUACACUCUCAUAUUUUGACUACAAAGGUAAUUUCUCUAAUAUUGUUGUCUGCUAAGGAUGGUUUCCCAUGUUUAGAGAAAGUUGAUAUUGAUAUCCCACAUAUCAAUAAAAAAUUUUAGAGAUAUGUGACCCACGAUCUGUAAACAUAUACACAAGGGUAUAAUAUGUGGGUAAAUCGUGAGUAUAAUAGAAAGUGGAUUUUGGGCUCCAAUAAUUUUAAACAAAAGCCAAACUAGCUAGCUGUAACAGUCACGACAACGCAGCGAGCUUGUUUCCCAGCUGAACCAUAACUAACAUGCCCACUUUGCACAUUAUUUUCCCCCAAUUUAUGAAUCCAAUUACAACAAAUUGUGAUAUGUUAUAAUUAGUAUAUCAACCUAUUAAAAAAAUACUAACCAAAACAACCACUUUAAACAAGCUUAACAAGUUUCCAAAGUUACCUGGUUGCCACUGAUUUACCAACACAGUCAUUUCAUUCAUAAGACGUUAAACAGCCCCAAACUUAAUAUUAAUUUGUUUAACCUUCUUCAGUUCUUAUAAAAAAAACAGAUAUAAAAAUUUAUAAUUCAUAAAUUGGACCAAAAUUCUUUUAUUUCUGCUAAGAGCCUCUAAGAAACCUUUUAUCAAACAUAACAUAGGCAUUUAUUUUUGGGGCACAGAUCAUACAUGUUCACACGUGUAAAUCUAAAUUUUCUUUCUUCCAAUACUCCUCACGACAACUAAACUCCCUUUUUUCUAAUUUAUAGUUAUCACAAUUCAAAUCACAGUUCAAUUUUUCAUUUAACACUAUUUUAGCCCAUAUUCGCAUAUACAUAUUCCAUUACUGAAAUUGUAGAAUAAUCUCAUAACUUACCUCCUUAUUUGUUUUUUUAAUUCAAAUUCCUUGAUGUCAAAGCCCUGAAAUCCUCCUUUGAAGACCAAUUGAUUGUAGUACUUCUGUCCCUUCAAUUUGAUUUACGUAAAUUUGAUGAUUACAUCGGAGCCUAAGAAGAUUUCGGCACAAGCUUUGAAGUGUAGUUUCGAAACCAAAAAAGAAAGAAGAAGGAAUCUAUCUUAGCUUGGUAAUAAUUUUUUUUAAGUGAACAAGAGAUGGAAUGGAGCAGAGCAUAGAGGACUGGUAAUACUCAUGGGAGAAAGGUUCAAAAAUGACCCUGAUUUUUAUUGUAAUGUCUAUUGAGCAUUCUAUAUUUUUUUUGUUCAAAAAUAUCCUUAACGUUAUAUUUUUUGAGUCAAUCUUAACCGAGUCAAUGUAAUUACUUACUUAAACUAAGCCACCUCCUGAUCCCAAAAUGAUACGCCUAAUUUUUUUUAUUUUUUU
rnacentral:lncRNA from 1 species